rnacentral:lncRNA from 1 species
UCUAUUCUAUACAAUUAGUAGAAUUUUCCCCUAAAAUGUCUCUGACAGAUAUUAUUUCUAAGUUCUGCCAAUUGCCACAUAUUCAUUGGGUUGGAUUGAUAACUUGGGCCUCUGAAUAGCCUAUGGACUAUGCCAGUUUGGUUAGUAAUAAUUCUUAAAAGGAAAAAUUACUGAAGCUAACAUACCUAAGACCUUAAUUAUAAUUAAUAAUAAUAUUUUAUCAAAAUUCUAAAAUAUAACAAAAGUAGUAAUAUUUUAUCCUUUUAUUAAUAAGCGCUUCUACUACACCUUUUUUUUUCUCCUAUUUUUACGCCACUUUCUAUUGCAUUUCCCUCCAAUAUAAGUUUCCUUUGAUUCCUUUUUUGUAUUUUUUUCUUCAACUUUCUUUUUUAUUUUUGGGGGUUUUGUAAUUUUUUUGGGUGUUUUUCUAGUCAGGUGAUGCCACUUCCGGCGAUGGGUAGGCUGAUGGCUUCAAUUGGACUUGCCUGUUCCGAUGUUUUUCAAUGGGUUUUUGACGGAGGAAAGAUCUAUCCGACGGGUUUCGCCGUAAUGGUGACCGGCAGUGACAGUAAUGAAGUUUUACCGGCGAGUCUUAGCCGAAAUCAAUCACAGAGGUCGAAUUUUAGUUGAUGGUUUGCUAAUUUUGCAGAUCCGGUGAAGGACAAGCUUUGCCAUCGUUUUUUAUGGAUUUUCCGGCGAUGUGAUAGCGCCGGGUUGGUAUAUUUUGGCUAGAUUUCGCUAAAAAAAUUGUUUUACCGCCUGUUUACUCUUCUGAAAUGGAAAACAUUAGAAAACCUUCAUCUCAAAAACACCAAAAAGUGCAAAAAAAUGUGAAAAAGAGGAAGUCAAACGAAAAGGAAGAAUAUGUAUUUUCGAGUUGUGCAUAUGUAUUUAUGAUUAAUGCAUAUGUAUAUUUUCAGUUAUGCAUAUAUAUUUAUGAAUAAUACAUAUGUAUUACCAAAUUGUAUAUGUAUUUAUGACUAAUGCAUAUGUAUUUUU